rnacentral:rRNA from 1 species
UACCCAAAGUGUCAUAGACUGUGUAGUGAGUAAUGUCCCCUACUAGAAAGGAGAGGGCAAGGCUGGUGCCAGCCGCCGCGGUAAAACCAGCUCUUCAAGUGGUCGGGAUAAUUAUUGGGCUUAAAGUGUCCGUAGCCGGUUUAGCAAGUUCCUGGUAAAAUCGGGUAGCUUAACUAUCUGCAUGCUAGGAAUACUGCUAUACUAGAGGGCGGGAGAGGUCUGAGGUACUACAGGGGUAGGGGUGAAAUCUUAUAAUCCUUGUAGGACCACCAGUGGCGAAGGCGUCAGACUGGAACGCGCCUGACGGUGAGGGACGAAAGCCAGGGGAGCGAACCGGAUUAGAUACCCGGGUAGUCCUGGCCGUAAACGAUGCAUACUAGGUGAUGGUACGGCCAUGAGCCGUAUCAGUGCCGUAGGGAAACCGUUAAGUGUGCCGCCUGGGAAGUACGGUCGCAAGGCUAAAACUUAAAGGAAUUGGCGGGGGAGCACCACAAGGGGUGAAGCCUGCGGUUCAAUUGGACUCAACGCCGGGAAACUUACCAGGGGAGACAGCAGUAUGACGGUCAGGUUGACGACCUUACCCGACGAGCUGAGAGGAGGUGCAUGGCCGUCGCCAGUUCGUGCCGUGAGGUAUCCUGUUAAGUCAGGCAACGAACGAGAUCCGCACCUUUAUUUGCCAACAAGAAGUCACGACUUCGUUGGGAACACUAAAGGGACCGCCGUCGAUAAGACGGAGGAAGGAGCGGGCAAAGGCAGGUCAGUAUGCCCCGAAACCCCUGGGCUACACGCGGGCUGCAAUGGUAUGAACAAUGGGCUGUGACUCCGAAAGGAGAAACCAAUCCCGAAAUCAUAUCUCAGUUGGAAUUGUCGGCUGUAACCCGCCGACAUGAACGUGGAAUCCCUAGUAAUCGUGUGUCAUCAUCGCACGGUGAAUACGUCUCUGCUCCUUGCACACACCGCCCGUCGCUCCAUCCGAGUGUGCUAAAAAUGAGGUCUGGUCAGUCUGGUCAUAUCGA